GGCCGCCUGGCGAAAUGGCAUCGCGUCUGACUACGAAAAUGUAAUCAGGAGAUUGCAGGUUCGACCCCUGCGGUGGUCA